UACGUAGGGUGCGAGCGUUAAUCGGAAUUACUGGGCGUAAAGCGUGCGCAGGCGGCGCGUUAAGACAGGUGUGAAAGCCCCGAGCUUAACUUGGGAAUUGCGCUUGUGGCGACUGGCGUGCUGGAGUGUGGCAGAGGGAGGUGGAAUUCCACGUGUAGCAGUGAAAUGCGUAGAGAUGUGGAGGAACACCGAUGGCGAAGGCAGCCUCCUGGGCCAGCACUGACGCUCAUGCACGAAAGCGUGGGGAGCAAACAGG
rnacentral:rRNA from 1 species